GUCCCUGUAGUGCAAUGAACAGUGCGUUGGACAUAGUCCAAAGGUUGUGGGUUCGAAUCCCACCUGAGAUG